CCUACGGGGUGCAGCAGUGAGGAAUAUUGGUCAAUGGACGAGAGUCUGAACCAGCCAAGUAGCGUGAAGGAUGACUGCCCUAUGGGUUGUAAACUUCUUUUAUAUGGGAAUAAAAUGUUCCACGUGUGGGAUUUUGUAUGUACCAUAUGAAUAAGGAUCGGCUAACUCCGUGCCAGCAGCCGCGGUAAUACGGAGGAUCCGAGCGUUAUCCGGAUUUAUUGGGUUUAAAGGGGGCGUAGGUGGAUUGUUAAGUCAGUUGUGAAAGUUUGCGGCUCAACCGUAAAAUUGCAGUUGAUACUGGCAGUCGUGAGUACAGUAGAGGUAGGCGGAAUGCGUGGUGUAGCGGUGAAAUGCUUAGAUAUCACGCAGAACUCCGAUUGCGAAGGCAGCUCACUGGACUGCAACUGACACUGAGGCUCGAAAGUGUGGGUAUCAAACAGGAUUAGAUACCCCAGUAGUC
rnacentral:rRNA from 1 species